rnacentral:rRNA from 1 species
CCUACGGGAGGCAGCAGUGGGGAAUAUUGGGCAAUGGGCGCAAGCCUGACCCAGCAACGCCGCGUGAGGGAAGAAGGCCUUCGGGUUGUAAACUUCUUUUCUCAGGGACGAAGCAAGUGACGGUACCUGAGGCAUAAGCCGCGGCUAACUACGUGACAGCAGCCGCGGUAAUACGUAGGUGGCAAGCGUUAUACGGAUUUACUGGGGGUAAAGGGCGUGUAGGCGGGACUGUAAGUCAGAUGGGAAAACCACGGGCUCAACCUGUGGCCUGCAUUUGAAACUGUAGGUCUUGAGUACUGGAGAGGCAGACGGAAUUCCUGGUGUAGCGGUGAAAGGCGUAGAUAUAAGGAAGAACACCAGUGGCGAAGGCGGUCUGCUGGACAGCAACUGACGCUGAGGCGCGAAAGCGUGGGGAGCAAACAGGAUUAGAUACCCCAGUAGUC